GGGGGUGUAGCUCAGAUGGGAGAGCACCUGCUUUGCAAGCAGGGGGUCAGCGGUUCGAUCCCGCUCACCUCCACCA
rnacentral:tRNA from 1 species